rnacentral:rRNA from 1 species
GACGAACGCUGGCGGCGUGCUUAACACAUGCAAGUCGAACGGAAAGGCCCUGCUUUUGUGGGGUUCUCGAGUGGCGAACGGGUGAGUAACACGUGAGUAACCUGCCCUUGACUUUGGGAUAACUUCAGGAAACUGGGGCUAAUACCGGCUCGGAGCUCCUGCUGCACGGUGGGGGUUGGAAAGUUUCGGCGGUUGGGGAUGUACUCGCGGCUUAUCAGCUUGUUGGUGGGGUAGUGGCUUACCAAGGCUUUGACGGGUAGCCGGCCUGAGAGGGUGACCGGCCACAUUGGGACUGAGAUACGGCCCAGACUCCUACGGGAGGCAGCAGUGGGGAAUAUUGCACAGUGGGCGGAAGCCUGAUGCAGCAACGCCGCGUGCGGGAUGACGGCCUUCGGGGUGGAAACCGCUUUCGCCUAUGACGAAGCGUGAGUGACGGUAAUGGGUAAAGAAGCACCGGCUAACUACGUG